ACUACUUUUGUAGAAUUUACCAUUUGUAUCUCACAGCUAUUUCUGUACAUAUUUUUGCUGCUAGUGAUACCUUGACAAUAAGAGUAGAUGUCUGGAACCUAAUGCAGCACUUUGCGUACAGGUAAAAUCUAACGGUCACCCAAUGACCAGGAGAAUGACCGGGAGCACUGUGUGGGUGUUCCGGUUUCUCAGUGUAUGAGGACCACAGACAACAGUGAGCUAAUUCAUGUCUUCCACAUAUAUUAACUUACAUAAAAGUACAAGCAGAUGGCAAGUUUUCAAGUUGUUGGCCCAGAUCUAGAGCGUAGAGGGCUGACUUCUAUAAACACUCACCUGCCCAAGUUCCCUUUGUUCUGACCAUUCCUAGAUGACUGAGAUUGCUCCUCUCAUCUGGCCCUUUCAGGUGCUUUCCUCCUGUCCCCAGAUUUGAACUUCAUGUAUUUACCCUCCAUAGAAGUGGGGAGAACCACGCAAAGUAUUUGGAAGUUGUGUCGGGAACAUGUUCACAGUUGGUGCAGGGUAGGCAUGCGCAUGUGCAAAGGGAGGACUUGCUAUUGGGUGGUCCGCCGAGGUUCCCCUGGUAACCACAUUCGGGUUGUUUUGACACUAACGGCUUUCUGCUUAUUCAUCUAUUAAAUGGAGACAACACUGCCUAAUGCAUGAUCAUGUCGUAUCAGGACAACGCAUUGUUUGAAAAUAAUGCAGGCUGUGGAUGCACAUCUCAGUUCCAUAAUCUGUACCCAAACCCUUAGCAGAGCUGGCCUCGGACAUCACCUUCUGCAUCACUGACAGGUGUUAGUCUGCUCCUCCUUGACAAGAAACACCCCUGGGCUCAAAUAUCUGCACGCUUCUCACCCUGUCUCCUGGUCCUUCCGGUGCCUCCGGCCGGGCUUUCCCUGCCACCAGUCCAUCUGAACGACUCCGGUCAAGGUCCCCAGAGGCUUGCGUGUCCCUGACCCGGUAGUCGCUUCUCAGUCCUCAUCUCCGCAGCAGCUGUCAUCAUCUCCCCUGGAGAACUGUUUCUUCUCUCGAGAUCUAAGGCAUCAUCAUCCUUCCCCGGCUUCCUCCUGCCUGCUUGGGCUGCUCCUGCUCAGUCUCUUUUCGGCUGCCUCUUCCAAACCUGGCUGCAUGAAGGGCUUUGGUCCCAGGUUCUCUCUCCUUUGGUCAUCUCACACUGGCUUUAAACCGGAUAUUCCCUGAUGACUGCCACAUUUGAAUGUCCAGGUGGUCUUCCCUGAUCCAGGCUUGGAACACCCAGCUGCCCACUCGACCACCCCAUGCACGUUACCCAGUGUCCAGCAUGUCUGAGACCGGACUUGUAAGAGCGGCUCCUCUCUCCUGCUCUGUAAUCGUCCUGCCAGCAUCUUGGGCGACAGACUCUGCCUUGUGGCAUGGUUUCUGAGUGUUUCUUCAGAGUAGCGGCAAAAUAGUGUGUCCUUCAUCUAAGUUGUGAGCAGGUUUGGGAUGAGGCAGGAGUAGCGAGUGAGGAGCUCAGCAUCAGACACAGCCAAUCCAUCAGGAAAAUAAUCUGAAAUGAGUCCAGAAUCCGACAUCAUCACUGCUAUGUGUCCUGACAGCUGCCGUUCCCUCUCACGGAUUUCGAUACCUCCUACCUGGACUUUGUGCUCCAGGAAAACCAUUUUAAGGGCUGCUUGGUGUAAGUGCUCGGAGGCAGGCUAUGUCUGCUAACUGGCAAAGGUCAAAGCUGGGCCCAUCCUCCCAUGGGACUGGAGGCGACGUCCCAUUCUCCUGACGAUUACGUCUCUGAGAAAUGACUUUCAAGUGCUUGAGAAACAUUCGUUGGGUUUGUACAAGAUACCAAGUCACACUUGGAAGCCCUUUUUAGCACAUGCCGUAAGAGUAUUUAUUUCAGGAAACAACUGUCAGGGGUUGUCUAGCACAAACUCUCCGGGCGGCCCUGUGCAUGCUACAUGUAGUAUUUGGAGGUGGGGAGUGGGUGUUGGGCCUCCUGGGCCAUGUCUGCACUGCCAUGGUAGACCUGUCCUGUGCCGAGAGUUCUCCAGUUCUCAAGUCUCUGCUAAAACCUUUCCUCACUGAGGUCAGCACUGACUAACAUUGCAAGCUACCCCCUCACUUACACCCCUACAACCCCUCCCUUUUACUUUGUUCCUGUUAUUCCAUCGCAUAAAUUAUCUUCUACACAUCAAAGUUAAGUGUUUGAUGUUAUAUAGGAUUAUAUAUAGAUUUAAGUAGCACAUAUUUAACAUAAUGUGCCUAUGUAGGGUCAUGUUUGAAUGUAAACGCUACAGCAGUUGUUUUGUUCCUGUUUUGGUCUUCCAUGUAUUCCCAGUACCUGUAUAGAGAGUGCAAGAUUCAGACAUAGUAAUCAAGGGCAGUUCCUAGGUUCUCCAUCUGAAAACUAAAAGGCUGACGCUUUCUUCACCACGACUGGAAACUCUGUGGGACUCGGAGCAGAGGAUAGGAGAGAUCAAGUAUUCACUUCCAGGCAUGUUAAAUCGAGGUGCUGGACUAGUUGAGCUGCUGAGUUUAGACUAAAUGUGAUGCAAUGAACAACUCCCCCAAAUCCUAAUGCCAUAAAGCAAAAAGGUUCAUUUGCUGGUCACAUUUGUGCCCAUCUCUGGUCAGUGAUGCUUUUGUGAACUUCACCUCAGGACCCGAGCUGCUGGAGCAGCCUGCAUCUGGAGAGUGGCUGGUGUCCAGCCAGAGGGAAGAAAGACUGCGUGGAGCCACUGAUGUCUGCUGAGGCUGUGCUAAGGCUUUGGGAAGGCUGUGCAUGGCUCCAGAUUGUCCCUGCAGGUCACAUCCCAGAAG
ensembl:lincRNA